UAAUCUUUAGUGUAAGAGCACAAAAAAUUUUGAUUUUUUUAGAAAUAAUUUAAUUUAUUAAGAUUAA
rnacentral:tRNA from 1 species